UAUUUAUCACGUAAUUUAUCUGCUUCCGAUUUUAACUACAAUACAGAAUCUUAUUUUGAGUCCAAUAAAUCAAAUUUAUGCCUAUUGUAUAUGUGUUUAGAGAUUUCCAUAUUCUACGUAAUACAAAAUAGUUUAACCUAUUUCUCUCCUUUUGUUUUGUUUGACUAUUAAUAUUUUUUUAAGAAAAUAUAUCUUCUGUAUAAUUACUAAGAAUAAGUUUUUUAAACUGAAUAGUUUGUAAUAAUGGUAAAUGGUAAGUUUUUUUUUCUAUUUCCUUAUACGCCAUAUACUACUUGUGAGUUAGGAAAAAACAUAGAUCAAAGAGUAAACGUAGAGAUUUUCUUAUUAGUCUUCACAAUCACUUAAAACAAUAAUAAAAACUUAUAUUACUCUUUUAUCUUAGACUUUUUGUUAUCUUGUUUAAUAGGAAGACAAUGAAAAUAGAACAAAAAGAGAAAGACUCAUUAGCAUAAACGCUCUAAGUAUUGCUACAAAAUUACGUAAAGGACUUUACAUAACCAAAUAUAAACAGAGUAGGUACAUCAGAUUUCAAAGACAAGAACUAACAAAAGCAACGAGAUGGUUCUGCAAAGUGACAAUGCUAACACAGGAACCAAACUUGGUCUCGCCGGUCUUGGCUACUCUUUGAUGGAUAUGUAACAUCCCGAUUUUUGGGGAUGCAAUCAUUAAAAGAAAUAAACCUGGUAAGUUGUCUGAAGCUAAUAUGGAGGAUUCUCUCUUCUAAUUUGGUAUGGGUUAAUUGGAUAAAUAUAUACCUUAUUAGAAAAGGUUCACUAUGGACGGGUAAGGAGAACAUUCAAUUAGGUUCUUGGAUGUGGAAAAAAAUUCUCAUGUGUAGAGAUAUUGGUAAGAGCUUGUACCGAGUAGAUAUAAGAAAUGGUAGGAAAACAUCUUUCUUGCAUGAAGCUUGGUCGCCACUGGGUUGUCUUCAGGAUAUGCUGAGGGAAGGAAACUAUAUUGAUAUGGGAAUUCCUAUAAAUGCAACCGUUGAUGUGAGUAGGAAGCAAAGAAGACAGCAUCAUCGAAUUCAUAUCUUGAAUAAUGUAGAAGAUGAGAUUGCGAGGUAUAAGGCAAACUUUGUUAAUGAAGAAGAUGUUUCCUUAUGGAAGAAUGGGACAUGACAAUACAAAAUGAACUUCUCAACGAGUGAAACAUGGAAGGUGAUUAGAAAAGAGUAUAUUGCUUGAAAUUGGUACAAAGAGAUUUGGUUCAAGUAUGUCACAUCGAAGCACUCUUUCAUUACUUGGGUUGCAAUGAAGGGGAGGCCUGCAACAGGAGAUCGCAUGAGGCAUUGGAGUGGGUUGGUGGACAGAUCUUGUGUCUUAUGCAAUGAUCCUUUGGAAACAAUGGAGCAUUUAUUUUUUGAGUGUGAGUAUUCUGCUCAAAUUUGGAAACAGAUGAUGGAAGGGGUGUUGCUACACAAGUAUACAAAUCAAUGGGAGAGGAUAAUGAGGAUCAUGAUAAUGCCGCAGGGGAGUAAAGUGAAGUCUUUUGUUAUUAAGUACAUGUUUCAACUUGCUAUUCACACAAUCUGGAGGGAAAGAAAUCGAAGGCGGCAUGGGGAGAGCCCCUCUCCUGUGAAUAUUUUGGCAAGUUUGAUAGACAAGGGGAUGAGAAACAAGCUCACUAUCAUUCAGAGGAGAAAGGAUAAAGAUUUGGAGGGAGGGAUGAUCUAUUGGCUUAGUACCAGAAUUUGAAGUUUGUUUUUUUUAUCAUUGGUUUUGAGCUUUUCUAUUUUACUUUGGGAGUUAGUUAUAGUAGAAGGAGAUAGGGUUUUCAUUUUUUUUUUUGUCAACAACAUUACAGACUCAUAUUGACUCUGUAAACCACACCGGGAGAUAUUAAUCCAUGUGAACGACGAAAGACGUUUGUUUCCUGACACUGCGUGCUAGGUUAUCUGCCUUUGUAUUUUGCGUUCUUGGUACAUGUAUAAUCUCUGAUCGUGUGAAGCUCUCUUUCAGACUCUCUUUCAGACUCUUGAUAGGGUUUUCAUUUUGACAGGUAACACUUGAUGUAACAAGGUUAUUUCUUCUUUGAAUUCAGUUUAACAUUCAAUUCAAAAAAAAAUUAAAAUAGAUAUUUCGAACAACAAAUACUAUUAUCAGAAUUUUUUAAUUUACCAAUAAACAAUGAUAUCAUUAAAAAAAAUAUUGUCAUAUUGUUUGUUGUUUUUGAUUAAAAUAAGAAUGAUAUAAUGGUACAUGAUUUAUUUAUAAAAUCAUUUAGAAAUAAAACAUACCUUGAAAAAAAAAAUAAAGCACCUCAAAAUGUAAUUAAAUACAAAAUUAUAUAUACAAUAAUAUAAAUAGAAGUCAUUAUAUAGCUACAUGUAUUUAUAUAUUAUAAAAAAAAUCAACACAAUUUAAAAAUAUAUAAAUACAACCGCCACUCUAAAUACAAAAAAAAUAAAUACCUAUUUUGACAAGAAGAAAUAAAUACUCACACCAAUUUUUUUUAAAUAACUUCCAAAAAGAACUUUUUUAAACCAAACAAUUUUGUUGCAUUUCCAACACAAUUAUAUGAUACCUCAUAACAAAACCAACAAUGGGUCUUUACAAAAAUGUGGAAUUUAUGCCUGGAUUUAAGAUGGGAGUAUCUCAUUGGUUGAGCCAUAUAUGGCAAAGUUAAUUUAGAGUUUUUUUUUUCAAAGAAAAUGGCAUAAGAAUGUAAAUAACUCAAAAAAUAUGAGGGCAAAAUCCUAGUAGAGAUUCCGCUUUAAUAGUAUAGAUAUAUUUUUCAAUAUGAUUACCACACAAUAGUUUGAAAAUUUCUAUAACCAACUUAAUAAGGAAAAAAAGAGUUGAACACAAAUAUGAUAACCAGACACUAAUUAGAAAAAAAAACCAGUCAAACAAAUCUAAUCAAUUUUUAAGGAUUACAAUGCAAGACAUGCAUUACUAAUUAGAUUGUUCUAUCUAUAAAUUAAUCAUGAUCUUAAAUAGAAAUUACAACCAUCAAACUAGUAAAUCAAAAAAUAAAAAUUCUAAUAAACGUCUGUUUCUUUAUCGUAAUAAUAUCACGAAGAACGAUAUGUCUUCAUCACAUCUUGCUAUUUUUUGCGUCAUUCUGAUUGCAUUAUUUCCACUUCAUGAAUUUGUCGAUGGCCAAGGUGCUAAUGCGGGAUUUUGCGUACCAGUCAAUUGCGACACUAAUGA